rnacentral:rRNA from 1 species
AACGAACGCUGGCGGCAUGCCUAACGCAUGCAAGUCGAACGAGACCAUCGGGUAUAGUGGCGCAUGGGUGAGUAACGGGUGGGAACCUGCCCUUAGGUUCGGAAUAACUCGCCGGAAGGGGUGCUCAAACGGGAUAAUGUCUUCGGACCAAAGAUUUAUCGCCGUUGGAUGGGCCCGCGUUGGGUUCGCUUGUUGGUAGGGUAAAAGCCUACAAAGGGGACAAUCCAUAGCUGGUCUGAGAGGAUGAGCAGCCACACUGGGACUGAGACACGGCCCAGACUCCUACGGGAGGCAGCAGUGGGGAAUAUUGGACAAUGGGCGAAAGCCUGAUCCAGCAAGGCCGCGUGAGUGAUGAAGGCCUUAGGGUUGUAAAGCUCUUUUACCCGGGAUGAUAAUGACGGUACCGGGAGAAUAAGCACCGGCUAACUCCGUG